AGCGAACGCCGGCGGCAGGCUUAACACAUGCAAGUCGAGCGGGCACUUCGGUGUCACCGGCAGACUGGUGAGUAGCCCGUGGGAACGUACCCUUCGGUUCGGCAUAACGCUGGGAAACUAGCGCUAAUACCGGAUACGCCCUUGUGGGGAAAGGUUUACUGCCGAAGGGUCGGCUCGCGUCUGAUUACCUAGUUGGUGGGGUAAUGGCCUACCACGGCUACGUUCAGUAGCUGGGCUGAGAGGAUGAUCAGCCACACUGGUACUGAGACACGGCCCAGAAUCCUACGGGAGGCAGGAGUGGGUAAUAUUGGACAAUGGGCGCAAGCAUGAUCCAGCCAGGCCGGGUGAGUGAUGAAGGCCUUAGGGUUGUAAAGCUCUUUUGUCCGGGACGAUAAUGACGGUACCGGAAGAAUAAGCCCCGGCUAACUUCGUG
rnacentral:rRNA from 1 species